AUCGAUGGGGAGCACGGCGCUGCGGUAGUGGCCUAGCGCAGGCGGGGACGGCGGAGCAUGGGGCUCCCCUGCUGAUCUGCGCAGGCGUCACCACCCGCUGCUGGGGAUGGCCGCCGCGGUGCUCGUCUACCAGAGGGCGCCUUAUUACCGAUACCCAUCCUCGCUGCCCUCCACUCCCUCCUUCCCUCUCGACGCCCUCCUUCCCUCCUGCCGGUCCACUCCCGCGCCAUCCGCCGCCGGCGGCGGCGUCAUCCUGCUCCUCGGCACAGCCACAGUGGGGCUGCCGCGGGCCACUGCUGCCCAGUGCAGCAGCCCCGCACGGGGGACGGCAUCGCGGUCGCGGAGGUGGCAGCGGAUGCCACUGCCACGCUAGGCCGGCAUCCGCACUCGCCUCCACCGGGCCCUCACUCCUGUCGCCCAACUCAGUGCGGGUCGUGCAGGGCUUCCUCCUCCCCAACUCCGCCUCGCCUCCUCCUCCUCCUCCGACGUGCUUGCGAGCACCGGCGUCCCCGCGUCGCCGUCACUGUCGAGGUCCCCAACGUGCUGCUCCAGCCCCUCGCCUCCUCAACCAAGGCCGUCGCCGCCUGAUUCUGCAGCCACGCCAAUUCCGUCCGCUGCCACGCCUCGCCACCUCCGGGAGCCCCAUGUCCUCUACCCCGUGGUUUGUGUAAAGAUUUCAGGUUGGCCAAUAGCGUGGAUGUGGAUGGUGCGGCAGAGGGGACGAUAGCAGGUUGGCCACGCGGUCAGCCGCCGGACAUCAACAUGCCACACGACGCCGGAGAGCUCCAUCAGCCUUGCGAGUCCACGGCCAUUUGUAGGUAGCGCUGAUGGAGCACUGCAAAAAUCCUUCCAUGUCGGGAGACAAGUGCCAUCAUUACCGAGUGUCCAAUCUGAUAGGCGGAUUCAGAAACAAUAUCCUCCCAUGUCGCGAUCCAUCCCGCGGUCGGAUGCAGAUCAAAUCCUUGGGUGCUGACCGAGGGAUCACCACGCGCGGCCAUAGCAAUCAACAUCAGCAGUUCUUGACGAAGACCACGACGUACAGCCCUAAGCGACGCCUGGUCCAUGAUGCCAACCGAGUUGCGCCCUCUGACAUUGUCUGAGUCAGCUGCAAGUGCAGAGUCUUACUCUGAACCCAUGCUUCGACUAUCUCCAAUAACCUAUCCAUUUCGGGCUUUCUAGAUAUAUAAGAAAAUUCAUUUGUUAGACGCAAUUUAGAAUGAAACAAUUAUUAUAGAAAUAGGUAAGUGAAAUCUGUUUUAGUCUCAUCAGCAUGUUCCGUUGAGUGUCACUGUUCACCAGUUUAAGUGUUUUCUCGGAAGUUUUGGUGCAUCUCGUAUGUUGCGGACUGCCAUACAACAGUAACAGUAACAUGAUCGAGUGCAAUUUACAUUUGUCUACUGA